AAUGAACGCUGGCGGCGUGGUUAAGACAUGCAAGUCGAACGGUUUUUAUUGAAGCGCAAGUGGAUAUAAAAGCAGUGGCGAACGGGUGCGUAACACGUGAACAAUCUACCUUCAAAUGGGGAAUAGCUCGCCGAAAGGCGAAUUAAUACCGCAUGUGGUUGCUUCUCGCAUGAGAGGCAUACCAAAGUCAGGGACCGCAAGGCCUGACGUUAGAAGAGGAGUUCGCGGCCCAUCAGCUAGUUGGCGAGGUAACGGCUCACCAAGGCUAAGACGGGUAGCUGGUCUGAGAGGAUGAUCCGCCACACUGGAACCGAGACACGGUCCAGACUCCUACGGGAGGCAGCAGUGGGGAAUUUUGGACAAUGGGGGCAACCCUGAUCCAGCCAUGCCGCGUGAGUGAAGAAGGCCUCGGUUGUAAGACUCUUCGCCGGGUAGAAAGUACGUAUGGGUUAUACCUCGUGCGGAUGACAGUACCGGCGACUAAGAAGACACC
rnacentral:rRNA from 1 species